CAGGCCUAACACAUGCAAGUCGAACGGUAACAGGAAGAAGCUUGCUGCUUUGCUGACGAGUGGCGGACGGGUGAGUAAUGUCUGGGAAACUGCCUGAUGGAGGGGGAUAACUACUGGAAACGGUAGCUAAUACCGCAUAACGUCGCAAGACCAAAGAGGGGGACCUUCGGGCCUCUUGCCAUCGGAUGUGCCCAGAUGGGAUUAGCUAGUAGGUGGGGUAACGGCUCACCUAGGCGACGAUCCCUAGCUGGUCUGAGAGGAUGACCAGCCACACUGGAACUGAGACACGGUCCAGACUCCUACGGGAGGCAGCAGUGGGGAAUAUUGCACAAUGGGCGCAAGCCUGAUGCAGCCAUGCCGCGUGUAUGAAGAAGGCCUUCGGGUUGUAAAGUACUUUCAGCGGGGAGGAAGGGAGUAAAGUUAAUACCUUUGCUCAUUGACGUUACCCGCAGAAGAAGCACCGGCUAACUCCGUGCCAGCAGCCGCGGU
rnacentral:rRNA from 1 species